CCUGUAUGUGAUGUGUUAGCUCCCCGCCGUUGCUCCACGUUUCUUCUUCCUUCCUCAUGGACGGGUCACCUCACUGCGAUGCCUUCAGAGAGAGGAAAAUUCAAGAUGGGAGCUCAAGACUGAAGAAAGGGGAAAUAAUGGCCCAAUUCUCUGCUUUCGGGAAGCCUGGGUUUUGUAAAUAGAGGUGCCAAGAAGGCACUUUAGAUUGUAGGCCACACUUGAAGAUUUAAUAAAGGUGGAGCUGCAGGUAUGGGAUAGGGGCUGGAGGAACAUGAGUUCUGAGUGGCUGUCAGGAGAAAGAUCUCAGAAACAGACUUGAGAAGAUGUAGCUUCAGACUGUAUGACCCAUGUACAGAACCACAGAAACCGAAGACCGUAUUUCAAGAGACAAGAGGCAACCAGUGACUCUUCCAAAGUCUAAAGGGAACGCCUGACAUUUCCAAACAUUAAAAAUCAAUGUCUCAGGGCAGGGCCUGUGAGAUGCCCCC
rnacentral:lncRNA from 1 species